rnacentral:lncRNA from 1 species
CCACUUCUAAAGGCAUAUUUGGCCAAGUUUGGUCCAAUUCGGAUCUAGCUCAUAAUCCUAGGCCCAAUACCUACUAACCUAACCCUAAAAUCCAAAAUAAAACCUAGACCCCUAGACCCUCUAGACUAACGCCUAAAAAUCUAAAAAAGCAUCUAACCUAAGACUAGAAAAUCAACCGCAUUAAUCAAAAAAGAACCCCCACCCCCAGCAAUCCUCUUCCUCUCCAUUUCAAAACCAGCGACAAACCUUACUAUCUCCCCUCCAUGGCUUGAGCUUAGCCAACAACCAGACCAAAACCAACGACCCAUGAGUACCAUCUUCUUCAACCUAGAGACCCCAUGAACUUCAUCUCCUUUACACCUAAAAACCUAAGACAACAACAACAGCCGCAACUGAUCACCCCAGCUCAUCUCCCAGCAGCUUCAAUACACAGACACACAUAGAUAUAGACAGACAUGGGAGGGAGAUAGGGGAACAACAAUAGAAAAAGGGAGGAGAAAUAGUGGAAAAAAAUAAAAAAUACAGCAACAGAAAAGGGAGGAGAAGGAACGCCGGGGGUGUUUGUUUGUCCAUCUCUGAGGUGUUUUUAAGUCUUGGAAGUACUCACAUUAAGGUCAGGUCGUUUUUUCAGUUUGAGUCAAUUCUCUGGUUUGAAAAAUGGAUUUCGUGUGAGAUUCGUUUGGAGCUAACGACCGUGAGGUGCCGCUCGAGGUUUAAGUUCGUGAUUCCUGUCCGAAUUUGCUGCUGUUUUCUCGGACAGAUUUCGUGGAUUGGGAGUUUGUAUCUAUUGAUUCUCAAAACCUUAAAGGAUAUUGGCUGAACAGGUUCAGCUCAGCUCUUUCUCUUCUCAUUGUUUUUUGUUAUGGAUUGUGGGGUUUGUGUUUGUUUGGUCGACAUCCUUUAUUAAAUUGCUUUUAAUUGAUUAUUCUGAUCUUGAAUCUCGUCAUCUAAGUUGGAUUGAUUCUAUUUGUUGAUAGUUCUUGUUUGUGGUUGAUAUUAAGUUAGAGUUGGAUUAAACAUAAUGAUAUGUAGAUCAAGAAUUCGGCAGUAAGGUUGGGUACUAAAAUAAAAGACGGUUUGAGCAUAAAUGGGUGUCCACAGGUUCAGUAUAUAUGAUAUUUGUUUACUGGAAUAUGCUUUUUUGACUAUUUUGUGGUUUUGAUUUGAAUCGGUGUCGAAACGCUCGGUUUAGCUAAUACUUAGAAUGAGCUAUAGAUUUAAACAAUAAAUAUGAAAUAAAUUCUAUGAGUUGUUGAACAAUAUGUGAAUAACAAAUGUUAUUGUUGAGGUAUAGUUGACAUGGCUGAAGCUAAUUGUCGGAUUUAGAAACAAAGUAUGCAUAUAGUACCUUUGCAAGUCUGGUUGCCGUUUUAACAUGAUUUCCUAAUUAAUCAACUUGAAAAAUAUUAUGUCUGUAUAUGUGUCCUAUUUGAGGAAAUAGUGUGUGUAGUAUUCUGUUUAAGGAAGGAAAUGGUAGAUUAAAAUAAGUCAUAUUUUGCUGAAAACACUGUUGUCUAACUCAUAAACAUCGUAGAAAUACCUUUAGGCACGUUUUGAAGUUAUUAUCGUGAUUAUGUACAUGCUCGCGUGACAUGCUUACAUUUUUCCAUAAUGAACUUUCGUAGUUUGAUUUAGGCGCGUUAAUUAAAUAAUUGUCAUAGCUACGGGUACGGUUCCCGUGAUGUGGUCGUGACAUUUAAUUUCUAAAAAUUCGGGGGUACAUUUAUAUGACCCGGCCACAAAAUCCGGGAAUGCCUAACACCUUCUCUCGGAUUAACAGAAUUCCUUACCCGGAUUUCUGUGUUCGCGAACUGUAAAACAAAGUCAAUCUUUCCUCGAUUCUGGAUUUGAACCAGUAACUUGGGACACAAAAAAUUAUCCCAAGUGGAGACUCUGAUUUGAAUAAAUAAUCAUGUUUCGAUUGUCACUUUAAUUGAAAAACCUCCCUUAUACCAUUCCGGGGUGGUAAAAAGGAGGUGUGACAAUGUUCAGGAAACUAUUUCCCAUAUAUUCUUUGAGUGCCCUAAUGCUGUCCAAUUCUAGAAUGAAAUUCUAUCAAAAUCUUCAAAGAAUAGUUCACAACAUGCUCCAUUUUUCAAUGGCCAUCAGUGGCAAUCAACAUGGAACUCUAUCAAAAAUGUCCCUUUCAACAGCUAUAUCCUUUGGGACAAUCUCAUUCCCUUCUGCUUUUGACACAUAUGGUUAACUAGGAACAAUAACUUAUUCAAUAAUAAAAAGGAAUACAUCAACACCACAAACACAGUCUCAAAAGCUACUGAAUACCUUAUGCUUACAAAAAAUGACUCUUCAAAAGUAACACAUCAUAUUGUGUUAAAAUGGGAGCCCCCAACCAGAGGUUUAUACAAGCUAAAUACAGAUGGAGCAGCAAGGGAGAACCCAGGAAUAGGAGGAUUAGGAGGAGUAUUUAGGAACCAUAAUGGUGACUGGAUACUGGGAUACAUGGACAAUAUCUCUCACACAACAAACACUAGGACAGAAUUACAAGCACUCCUACGGGGUCUGCAACUAGCAGAGCAAAACAACUUGGCUCCCCUAGAAAUAAACACUGAUUCAUCUGAAACCAUCAAUAUGCUAUUGCAUGGAAGUCUGAUUUAUGAUCCUCUAAUUUGUGAAUGUAGGUCACUAAUUCACAUGAUGGACAACGUGGUAGUGAAGCACAUCUAUCGAGAGAAGAAUAUAGUAGCUGAUGCAUUGGCCAAAGAAAUAGCAAAGGAAAUCUUUUUGAACAAGUCUAGGAUAUUAUCAGUUACUUCGAUGUUUGUCAACGAUAAAUUUUGGGCAGACAUCCUAGGAACUGAAUUAGUUAGAUCUUUUGUGGGUUGUAAUAUAAACACAAUCGUGCAUAACAUUACAACUAUGGGGGUACUAUAAUACCCCAGCAAUGUCCCUGAUGUAAUUUCUUUUGUUAACUAGCAUAUUAAUAUUAUAUCCCGUUUAACCAAAAAAAAGAAGGAAAUAACAAAACAUGCUUGCGCACCCACAAAAGGAAAUAAUACUGUACUUUUUUUGGAGUGUCUAUAUAGAGUUGGGAGAAGGGGG